CCAAGCUACAAAGGGCGCAUGGUGAAUGCCUUGGCGCUGAGAGACGACGAAGGACGUGGUAAGCUGCGAUAAGCCUCGGGGAGCUGCAAACAAGCAUUGAUCCGGGGAUUUCCGAAUGGGGAAACCCACGCGGGGCCAUGCCCGCGUAACCGCAAGCUGAAUACAUAGGCCUGCGGUUGUGAACGAGGGGAACUGAAACAUCUAAGUACCCUCAGGAAAAGAAAUCAACCGAGAUACCCCAAGUAGUGGCGAGCGAACGGGGUUCAGCCCAAACCAGGUGUACGUGAUAGCCCGCUGGCGUUGUACAUCUGGGGUUGUGGGGCCUCUCUGGGCUUCAGCGGAAGUCCGAGGGAGUUAUCAAGGUCGUUUAUAGUCGAAGUGUCUGGAAAGUCACACCACAGAGGGUGAUAGUCCUGUAGGCGAAAUAAACGACCCUCCCGAGAGUGUCCCCGAGUACCACGAGGCCGGUGAAACCUUGUGGGAAGCUGGGAGCACCAUCUUCCAAGGCUAAAUACUACUCAGCGACCGAUAGUGAACUAGUACCGUGAGGGAAAGGUGAAAAGAACCCCUGCUAGGGGAGUUAAAAGAACCUGAAACCAUGUGCCUACAAACUGUGGGAGCACUAUGGCCGGAGCCUUCGGGCCUGGCAAUGUGUGACUGCGUACCUUUUGCAUAAUGGGCCUGCGAGUUACGUUUCGUGGCAAGGUUAAGCCGAUAGGUGUAGCCGGAGCGAAAGCGAGUCUGAACAGGGCGUUCAGUCGCGGGACGUAGACACGAAACCGAUGUGAUCUAUCCAUGGCCAGGAUGAAGCCCGGGUAAUACCGGGUGGAGGUCCGAACCCACUCAAGUUGAAAAUUGAGGGGAUGAGCUGUGGAUUGGAGUGAAAGGCUAAUCAAACUCGGAGAUAGCUUGUUCUCCCCGAAAGCUAUUUAGGUAGCGCCUCGGGAAUUCAGUAGCGGAGGUAGAGCACUGGAUGGGCUAGGGGUCUCACCAGAUUACCAAACCCAACCAAACUCCGAAUGCCGCUAACUGCGACCCCGGGAGACAGACUAUGGGAGCUAAGUUCCAUGGUCAAAAGGGAAAAAGCCCAGACCGCCAGCUAAGGUCCCCAAAUCCAUACUAAGUGGAAAAGGAUGUGGAAGCGCUAAGACAACCAGGAGGUUGGCUUAGAAGCAGCCACCCUCUAAGGAAAGCGUAAUAGCUCACUGGUCAAGUGAAUCUGCGCCGAAAAUAUAACGGGGCUCAAGUAUGGUACCGAAGCUGCGGGUUUGGUUGAUGCCUUCGGGCGUCCCAAGCGGUAGGGGAGCAUUGUAGUUGCCUGAGAAGCCAUAUCGAAAGGAGUGGUGGAGGCCCUACAAGAGCUAAUGCAGGCAUGAGUAGCGAUAAAUGGUGUGAGAAACACCAUCGCCGUAAGCCUAAGGUUUCCUGGGUAAAGCUAAUCUUCCCAGGGUUAGUCGGCCCCUAAGACGAGGCUGAAAAGCGUAGUCGAUGGGAAACAGGUUAAUAUUCCUGUACCACUAUGGAUGGUUUCUACGGGAGGGACGGAGAAAGAUAGCCCAUCCCCUUAAUGGAAUAGGGGUUCAAGCUUGUAGGAGGAUGUCCUAGGACCUUUCAGGACAAACGGGGCAUUUUAACUCCGAGAAGCGAUGAGGAGGGAACAAGAGUUCCCACGAACUGGGUAAGUCUACGCUUCCUAGAAAAGCUCCGGUAGAGUUAACCGCUGUGGUGUCCGUACCGUAAUCCGACACAGGUAGGCGAGGAGAGUAUCCUAAGGCGCUUGAGUCAACCCUGGCUAAGGAACUCGGCAAAUUAACACCGUAACUUCGGGAGAAGGUGUGCCCUGGCUGGUGAUGAUCGCACGAUCGGAGCUGGUUGGGGUUGCAGUGAAGCGGGGGUAGCGACUGUUUACCAAAAACAUAGGACUCUGCAAAGUCGCAAGACGACGUAUAGGGUCUGACGCCUGCCCGGUGCUGGAAGGUUAAGGGGAGUAGUUAGUCUCUUCGGAGGCGAAGCCGCGAACCGAAGCCCCAGUAAACGGCGGCCGUAACUAUAACGGUCCUAAGGUAGCGAAAUUCCUUGUCGGGUAAGUUCCGACCUGCACGAAUGGCGUAACGA
rnacentral:rRNA from 1 species